rnacentral:rRNA from 1 species
AGGAUGAACGCUGGCGGCGUGCCUAAUACAUGCAAGUCGAGCGGUAAGGCCCCUUCGGGGGUACACGAGCGGCGGACGGCUGAGUAACACGUAGGAACGUACCCCAAAGUGAGGGAUAAGCACCAGAAAUGGUGUCUAAUACCGCAUGUGCUCUUCGGAGGAAAGCUUCGGCGCUUUGGGAACGGCCUGCGCAUGAUUAGCUUGUUGGUGAGGUAAUGGCUCACCAAGGCGACGAUCAUUAGCUGGUCUGAGAGGAUGAUCAGCCAGACUGGGACUGAGAACGGCCCAGACUCCUACGGAGGCAGCAGUAGGGAAUUUUCCACAAUGGGCGAAAGCCUGAUGGAGCAACGCCGCGUGCAGGAUGAAUGCCUUCGGGUUGUAAACUGCUUUUAUAUGUGACGAAUAUGACGGUAGCAUAUGAAUAAGGAUCGGCUAACUCCGCGCCAGCGCGCCG